GUGGGGAAUCUUCCGCAAUGGACGAAAGUCUGACGGAGCGACGCCGCGUGAGUGAAGAAGGCCUUCGGGUCGUAAAGCUCUGUCAUCAGGGACGAACGGCCGGUGGAGUGGAAAGCCACCGGAUUGACGGUACCUGAGAAGGAAGCCACGGCUAACUACGUGCCAGCAGCCGCGGUAAUACGUAGGUGGCAAGCGUUGUCCGGAAUUAUUGGGCGUAAAGCGCGCGCAGGUGGGAUCUUAAGUCCAUUUUGAAAGUUCGGAGCUCAACUCCGUGAUGGGAUGGAAAAUGGGAUUCUUGAGUACCGGAGAGGAAAGCGGAAUUCCCCGUGUAGCGGUGAAAUGCGUAGAUAUGGGGAGGAACACCAGUGGCGAAGGCGGCCACCUGGACCGGUAUUGACGCUGAGGUGCGAAAGCGUGGGGAGCAAACAGGAUUAGAAACCCUAGUAGUCC
rnacentral:rRNA from 1 species